rnacentral:rRNA from 1 species
UGGGGAAUUUUGGACAAUGGGGGAAACCCUGAUCCAGCCAUCCCGCGUGUGCGAUGAAGGCCUUCGGGUUGUAAAGCACUUUUGGCAGGAAAGAAACGUCAUGGGUUAAUACCCCGUGAAACUGACGGUACCUGCAGAAUAAGCACCGGCUAACUACGUGCCAGCAGCCGCGGUAAUACGUAGGGUGCAAGCGUUAAUCGGAAUUACUGGGCGUAAAGCGUGCGCAGGCGGUUCGGAAAGAAAGAUGUGAAAUCGCAGGGCUCAACUUUGGAACUGCAUUUUUAACUACCGGGCUAGGGUGUGUCAGAGGGAGGUGGAAUUCCGCGUGUAGCAGUGAAAUGCGUAGCUAUGCGGAGGAACACCGAUGGCGAAGGCAGCCUCCUGGGAUAACACUGACGCUCAUGCACGAAAGCGUGGGGAGCAAACAGG